GGUAGCAGUCCUCAUUUUAAUUGUGCUUCCAUAAUUCUUGUCUUUCAAUUGACUCUUGUUACAUAUUCGAAAGAAUGGUCAAUGGAUUGCUACACCAGGAAGCAACCAUGAAACUUGAAGCUAUGAAGUGCUUAGUGGAUAUUUUAAAAUCAGUGGGAAACUGGAUGAACAGACAGUUGCACAAUCUGGAUCCUUAUUCUUCUUAUGGAUUUGAAACUGUUCAAAACAUUCCUGAAGUUGGAAGUAUCCCCAUGGCAAUUGUGAAAGGGGAUGAGCCUGCUGAAGGAUCAGAUUCUCGUUCUGAAGCCUCUAAUGAAGCUUCUGAUAUUCCAAAAGAAGAAAGUUCGAAACCAUCUGUUUCUGAUGUUGACACAAAAAAGUGAAAAACAAUGGAUUUCUUGUGGUUAAAGAUAGCGACAGUAAUGGUGUUGAGGUUCAUUAUAUGG